rnacentral:rRNA from 1 species
UACAUGUGGGGCAAGCGUUGUUCGGAAUUACUGGGCAUAAAGGGUGCGUAGGUGGCUUGUUAAGUCAGGGGUGAAAGUUUUCGGCCCAACCGGAAAAUGGCCUUUGAUACUGGCGAGCUCGAGUGCGUGAGGGGUAACCGGAACGAGCAGUGUAGCGGUGAAAUGCGUAGAUAUCAGGAGGAACACCGAUGGCGAAGGCAGGUCUCUGGGCUGACACUGACGCUCAUGCACGAAAGCGUGGGGAGCAAACAGG